rnacentral:tRNA from 1 species
GCCUGGGUGGCUCAGUCGGUUGAGUGUCCGACUUUGGAUCAGAUCAUGAUCUCGUGGUCUGUGAGUUCGAGCCCCACGUCAGGCU